rnacentral:rRNA from 1 species
GACUACUGGGGUAUCUAAUCCUGUUUGCUCCCCUAGCUUUCGUGCCUCAGUGUCAGGAGUUGUCCAGGGACUCGCCUUCGCCACUGGUGUUCCACUUGAUAUCUACGCAUUUCACUGCUACACCAAGUAUUCCAGUCCCCCCUCCAACCCUCGAGCAAUGUAGUUUCCAAUGCAGUUUCCGAGUUGAGCUCGGAGAUUUCACAUCCGACUUACACCGCCACCUACGCACCCUUUACGCCCAGUAAAUCCGAACAACGCUUGGGACCUCUGUAUUACCGCGGCUGCUGGCACAGAGUUAGCCGUCCCUUCCUCUUUCGCUACUAUCAGGUUAUCAUCUUUUAAAUAAUAACGGUUGAUCGCAAAUGACAGGGGUUUACGGGCCGAAGCCAUUCAUCCCCCACGCGGCGUCGCUCCAUCAGGCUUGCGCCCAUUGUGAAAAAUUCUCGACUGCAGCCCCCCGUAGG